rnacentral:rRNA from 1 species
CGAGGGGUAUAAGUCUUCGGAUUUAGAGACCGGCGCACGGGUGCGUAACGCGUAUGCAAUCUACCUUUUACAGAGGGAUAGCCCAGAGAAAUUUGGAUUAAUACCUCAUAGUAUUAUGAAAUGGCAUCAUUUUAUAAUUAAAGUCACAACGGUAAAAGAUGAGCAUGCGUCCCAUUAGCUAGUUGGUAAGGUAACGGCUUACCAAGGCUACGAUGGGUAGGGGUCCUGAGAGGGAGAUCCCCCACACUGGUACUGAGACACGGACCAGACUCCUACGGGAGGCAGCAGUGAGGAAUAUUGGACAAUGGGCGCAAGCCUGAUCCAGCCAUGCCGCGUGCAGGAUGACGGUCCUAUGGAUUGUAAACUGCUUUUAUACGAGAAGAAACACUGCUUCGUGAAGCAGCUUGACGGUAUCGUAAGAAUAAGGAUCGGCUAACUCCGUGCCAGCAGCCGCGGUAAUACGGAGGAUCCAAGCGUUAUCCGGAAUCAUUGGGUUUAAAGGGUCCGUAGGCGGUUUGGUAAGUCAGUGGUGAAAGCCCAUCGCUCAACGGUGGAACGGCCAUUGAUACUGCCAGACUUGAAUUAUUAGGAAGUAACUAGAAUAUGUAGUGUAGCGGUGAAAUGCUUAGAGAUUACAUGGAAUACCAAUUGCGAAGGCAGGUUACUACUAAUGGAUUGACGCUGAUGGACGAAAGCGUGGGUAGCUAACAGGAUUAGAUACCCUGGUAGUCCACGCCGUANACGAUGGAUACUAGCUGUUGGAAGCAAUUUCAGUGGCUAAGCGAAAGUG